ensembl:lncRNA
GAGAGAACAAAGAAGGAAGAAGAGGAGGGAAAGAAGAGAAGGGGAACAUGAGGAAAGGUAGAAAGAGACAAGAAGCAGCAAGAGAGACGGCCAGGGGACUUCCCUGGUGGUCCAGCCGCUAAGAUUCCAUGCUCCCAAGGCAGGGAGCGUGGGUUCAAUCCUUGGUCAGGGAGCUAGAUCCUGUAUGCCUUAAGACCCAGUGUAGCCAAAUAAAUAAAUGAUUUUAAAAGAGAAAGAGAUGCCCAGAUAAAGGGACAUGCAGCACAAGCCAGAGAAAACAUAUAUGCUGGGUUAGAAGAAGGUAAUGAACAUUUACAGAGAACCAGACAGAGAAACAGAUUAUCCGCAAUGUUCCCAGCAGCAGAUUCCAAAUCUUGCUCCAGGACAGGACUAGAGAGUUGGACGCUAGCAGCACUUGGGCAGGAGGUGACAGCUCCUUUGGACUUCAGGGACUUCAGGUGAGACCUGGAUGGAUUUGACCUGCCUUGGCUUAUCCCCCACAGGGAUUCAGACACAUCACAUCACAGUGGGAAUGAAAGCUUCAGCCUUUAACCUGAAGUCAGAGCCACCAUGAGGCCGAGGACUGGCAUGAAGAAGAGUCAGCAGUGUCCCUGGAGAUAGCCCUGCCCAAGCAGCAGUGCCCACUUUCAGAGGCAGAGGCUGUGGUCAAGACUGGCCGCUCCAGAAUUCCCGUGGGAGCUGGAAUACGAUGGCUACACCCUUGGGGCAUCAGGGACUCGUCUCAGGUUCAGGUCCAGCCUGGAUCUCUCUCCAGAAACUCAAGCCUGUGAUGGGCCACCAGCUGUGCUGGAGACCAGAGUUCAAUCCCUGGGUUGGGAAGAUUCCCCUGAAGAAGAGAAUGAUUACUCACUCCAAUAUUCUUGCUUGGAGAAUUCUGUGGACAGAGGAGCCUGGUGGGAGUCCAUGGGGUGGCAAAGAGUCGGACACGCCUACCCACCCAGAUGUUCCUUAAGCCCCUAACACCCAACACCUUGAAAGUAGAAGUUGUCAUCACCUCAGUCUUGCCUUCCUCCCAAGUUUCCU